rnacentral:rRNA from 1 species
UACGUAGGGUCCGAGCGUUUGUCCGGAAUUAUUGGGCGUAAAGGGCUCGUAGGCGGUUUGUCGCGUCGGGAGUGAAAACACCGGGCUUAACUCGGUGCUUGCUUUCGAUACGGGCAGACUGGAGGUAUGCAGGGGAGAACGGAAUUCCUGGUGUAGCGGUGAAAUGCGCAGAUAUCAGGAGGAACACCGGUGGCGAAGGCGGUUCUCUGGGCAUUAACUGACGCUGAGGAGCGAAAGCAUGGGGAGCGAACAGG